GACUCAGUUUCAAGUUUUGAAGUAAAUACAAAUAUAUAAAUUCAAAAAGAAAUCGAUACAAUCCACAUAAUCCAUAUUGCUUUCCCAAAUUUAUUAAAGAAAAAGGGAGCAAUCAAAGAAUUAAAAAAAGAUCUACAAAAGGAAGUUAACUCUGUAAACCAGAUACUUAAUAUUUCCACCGAAGGGGUCUUGAUUUUGAAUCCGUCCUUAUAUUUGCGAAUCCUUUUUUAA
rnacentral:rRNA from 1 species